GUCUCUGAGGCGCAAUAGGUUAACGCGUUCGGCUGUUAACCGAAAGGUUGGUGGUUCAAGCCCACCCAGGGACG
rnacentral:tRNA from 1 species